UGUCCGUCUGUCCCUCCGUCCGUCCGUGUGCCCAGCCCCGUGUCCGUGUGUCCAUCCCCAUGUCCGUCUGUCCGUGUGCCCAGCCCCGUGUCCGUGUGUCCAUCCCCAUGUCCCCGUGUCCGUGUGUCCCUCCCUGUGUCCGUGCGUCCGUCUCCUCUGUGUGUCCGUCCGUCCGUGUGUCCAUCCCCAUGUCCGUCCGUCCAUCCGUCCGUCCGUGUGUCCAUCCCCGUGUCCCCGUGUCCAUCCCCUUGUCCGUCUGUCCGUCCGUCCGUGUGUCCGUGUGUCCAUCCCCAUGUCCGUGUGUCCAUCCCCGUGUCCGUCUGUCCGUCCGUCCGUGUGUCCGUGUGUCCAUCCCCAUGUCCGUGUGUCCAUCCCCGUGUCCGUCCGUCCGUCCGUGUGUCCAUCCCCGUGUCCGUCCGUCCCUCUGUCCGUGUGUCCAUCCCCGUGUCCGUCCGUCCCUCUGUCCGUGUGUCCAUCCCCGUGUCCGUCCGUCCGUCCGUCCGUCCGCGCUCCCCCCCGCGGCCCCGCCCCGGCCCCGCCCGGCCCCGCCCCGCCGGUUCUGCGGCUCCGAGCGGCGGCCGCGGCCUCUCCGGGGCCUCACCGGGGCCUCUCCGGGGCCUCACCGGGGCCUCUCCGGGGCCUCACCGGGGCGGCGGGUCCGGGGCUGCUCCGGGACCGCCGCACCCCGAGCCCGGCGGCCGCUCCCGGGGCCGUUCCGCGCCCGGGAUCCACCCCGGAUCCAAUCCGGGAUCCAUUCCCGGAUCCCGGCUCCAUCCCCGCAUCCCGGCUCCAUUCCCGGCUCCAUCCCCGCAUCCCGGCUCCAUCCCCGGCUCCAUCCCGGCUCCAUCCCCGCAUCCCGGCUCCAUCCCCGGCUCCAUCCCGGCUCCAUCCCCGCAUCCCGGUGUCCCCCCCCCGCCAUCCCGGUCCCCUCUCCCCUCUCCCGGUGCCAUCCCGGUGAUUCCCGACAUCCCCACCCCCCCCUCC
rnacentral:lncRNA from 1 species